rnacentral:lncRNA from 1 species
AGCCACAAGCACAAAUCAAGGCCAUGGCCACUGAGCAACUUCUGAGCCUGCUCUUUAAGAAUGUGCUCUUGUUUUCAAUACAUAAUCUGUCCUGUUCUUUCAAAGUCUUGAUUUCUUUUCUUUUCACGUACAAGAUGGUACUCACUCACAGCCUUGUGUUCCAAAACGGCAAAGCUGGUAAUGACUUUUUCAGACAGAAACUGACAGAGUAGAGCCUUUUGUUUUCCUGCAUUCUUAACAAGCCUGAUGAGUCUGUGCUGUGUACUGUGAACAUUUGGGAAAGCCCAGGAAACACAGUCAGAGAGAAAUUGCCAGUUGGACUGACAGCGCUGCCCACCUGCUGCAUCCAAGAAGCAACAACUGAAGUUUGCUUAGCUGUUCUCACCACAAAACAAAGCAAAGCGGAAAAAGAGUAACUAGGUUAGGUGAAAGACGUGUUAACUAGCUGGACUGGAGUAAUCAUUUCUUAAAAGCUAGGUAUGUCAAAACAUCACCUUGAAAUCAUCAGAUUUUAUUUGUUGACUGUACAUCAAUAAAGCUGUAAAUUAAAAAUAAAAGAAACAACUGUUGUGAGUCUUUAACAAAAGAACCUGUUGAGGACAUGAUGGAAAAUAGUUUUAUGUUAGCCUCCUUCCUACAUAACUCUUUGCCUCUAUCUUUAU